UUCUAGAGCUAAUACAUGCACCAAAGCUCCGAUUUUCUGACGAGCGCAUCUAUUAGAUUAAAACCAAUCGGGUUUCGGCCCGUAAAUUGGUGACUCUGAAUAACUAUAGCUGAUCGCAUGGUCUCGAACCGGCGACGUGUCUAUCAAGUGUCUGCCUUAUCAACUGUCGAUGGUAGUUUAUGUGCCUACCAUGGUUGUAACGGGUAACGGAGAAUAAGGGUUCGACUCCGGAGAGGGAGCCUGAGAAACGGCUACCACAUCCAAGGAA
rnacentral:rRNA from 1 species